CAUGUUACACAAAUAAGUCUUGCGUUUUAAUGGGUCUUUCCACAAAACACAAGGUCCUUGGUUACCAAAAUGAUAUAGAUCAAACCACCACUUUCUUCUCAAAUAGAUAUUUGAAAAUUGUACAGGAUUUAACUUGAAAACAAGACCCCCUCCCCUACCUCAUAGAACUUAUAUUGAAUCUAUUGAAGGUUUUAAAACCAGAUCACAGAUUCAAGGAUGUUAAAAACUCCUUUUUCACACAGGAACGAGGAUGAUAAAAACUCCUUUUUCAUGAAAUUACUCCCAAAAUGAUAACAGCUUAAUAGCAGAUCCAAUUUCAGAAUAAAAAUUUUGUUAGCUUGGCCAUGUUAAACACUCUUUUUUUAGGAAAUUACUCCCCAAAUGAUACAAGCUAAUAGCAGAUCCAAUUUCAGAAUAAAAAUUUUGUUAGCUUGGCCAUGUUAAACACUCUUUUUUUAGGAAAUUACUCCCCAAAUGAUACAAGC
rnacentral:misc_RNA from 1 species